rnacentral:rRNA from 1 species
UACGUAGGGGGCAAGCGUUGUCCGGAAUCAUUGGGCGUAAAGCGCGUGUAGGCGGCUCGGUAAGUCUGCUGUGAAAGUCCAGGGCUCAACCCUGGGAUGCCGGUGGAUACUGUCGAGCUCGAGUCCGGAAGAGGCGAGUGGAAUUCCUGGUGUAGCGGUGAAAUGCGCAGAUAUCUGGAGGAACACCGGUGGCGAAGGCGGCAUCCUGGACCAACACUGACGCUGAGGAGCGAAAGCCAGGGGAGCAAACGGG